rnacentral:rRNA from 1 species
UACAGAGGGUGCAAGCGUUUGUCCGGAAUCACUGGGCGUAAAGGGCGCGUAGGCGGCCUGAUAAGUAGGGGGUGAAAUCCUGGGGCUUAACCUCAGGGCUGCCUUCUAGACUGUCCGGCUCGAGCACAGUAGAGGCAGGUGGAAUUCCCGGUGUAGCGGUGGAAUGCGUAGAGAUCGGGAAGAACAUCGGUGGCGAAGGCGGCCUGCUGGGCUGUUGCUGACGCUGAGGCGCGACAGCGUGGGGAGCAAACAGG